ACAUCCCUCUGACCUACUGUGUAAUGCAGUAUCUCUUCGGAGCAGAGGUGACAGGUGGUGCAUGGUUGUCGUCAGCUCGUGUCGUGAGAUGUUGGGUUAAGUCCCGCAAACGAGCGCAACCCUUGUCCUUAGUAGCCAGCAGUCAGAUGGGCACUCUAGGGAGACUGCCGGAGAUAAUCCGGAGGAAGGUGGGGAUGACGUCAAAUCAUCAUGCCCCUUAUGAGCAGGGCUACACACGUGCUACAAUGGCGUAAACAAAGGGACGCGAAACCGUGAGGUCUAGCAAAUCCCAAAAAUAACGUCUCAGUUCGGAUUGUAGUCUGCAACUCGACUACAUGAAGCUGGAAUCGCUAGUAAUCGCGA
rnacentral:rRNA from 1 species